rnacentral:rRNA from 1 species
GGCUCAGAUUGAACGCUAGCGGGAUGCCUUACACAUGCAAGUCGAACGGCAGCACGGACUUCGGUCUGGUGGCGAGUGGCGAACGGGUGAGUAAUGUAUCGGAACGUGCCUAGUAGCGGGGGAUAACUACGCGAAAGCGUAGCUAAUACCGCAUACGCCCUACGGGGGAAAGCAGGGGAUCGCAAGACCUUGCACUAUUAGAGCGGCCGAUAUCGGAUUAGCUAGUUGGUGGGGUAACGGCUCACCAAGGCGACGAUCCGUAGCUGGUUUGAGAGGACGACCAGCCACACUGGGACUGAGACACGGCCCAGACUCCUACGGGAGGCAGCAGUGGGGAAUUUUGGACAAUGGGGGAAACCCUGAUCCAGCCAUCCCGCGUGUGCGAUGAAGGCCUUCGGGUUGUAAAGCACUUUUGGCAGGAAAGAAACGUCAUGGGUUAAUACCCCGUGAAACUGACGGUACCUGCAGAAUAAGCACCGGCUAACUACGUGCCAGCAGCCGCGGUAAUACGUAGGGUGCAAGCGUUAAUCGGAAUUACUGGGCGUAAAGCGUGCGCAGGCGGUUCGGAAAGAAAGAUGUGAAAUCCCAGAGCUUAACUUUGGAACUGCAUUUUUAACUACCGAGCUAGAGUGUGUCAGAGGGAGGUGGAAUUCCGCGUGUAGCAGUGAAAUGCGUAGAUAUGCGGAGGAACACCGAUGGCGAAGGCAGCCUCCUGGGAUAACACUGACGC